rnacentral:rRNA from 1 species
ACGCUCGACACCUACGGGAGGCAGCAGUGAGGAAUAUUGGUCAAUGGGCGCUAGCCUGAACCAGCCAAGUAGCGUGAAGGAUGAAGGCUCUAUGGGUCGUAAACUUCUUUUAUAUAAGAAUAAAGUGCAGUAUGUAUACUGUUUUGUAUGUAUUAUAUGAAUAAGGAUCGGCUAACUCCGUGCGAGCAGCCGCGGUAAUCUGAGCGGGCUGGCAAGGC